rnacentral:rRNA from 1 species
UCUAACAUGUGCGCGAGUCAUUGGGCUUGCUAAACCUAAAGGCGAAAUGAAAGUGAAGGCGGUGCAAUACCUUCCUAGGGGUGAUGGUCGCGCUUCGUGCCGGCCCGCAACCCCGGGGCGUUACUUCACUUGUGGAGUGACGCACCUAGAGCGCACACGUUGGUACCCGAAAGAUGGUGAACUAUGCCUGGCCAGGAUGAAGUCAGGGGAAACCCUGAUGGAAGUCCGUAGCAAUUCUGACGUGCAAAUCGAUUGUCAGAGCUGGGUAUAGGGGCGAAAGACUAAUCGAACCAUC